GCAGAUUUUUGCACCAACAACACUUAAAUUUAAUCUCUUAUAGGCUUCUUGGAUCAUAGAUAAAAAAUUGUUCAUCCUUGGGAUUGAACCUGAGCCUCAUGUGUAGUGCUAGUUAGACAUAGUCAACUCUUCAAUCUCGUUUGAUCCAUAACUUAAUUCUCAAUCAAGUUAGUCUAUAUAUUUAAUCAAGUCAAAUAUUUUUAAAUUAGAUAUAUAAACAUAGGUCAAUACUUUUCUAUUUUAUUUAACUUUUGUGCAUCACUCCAUAGGUUCGAACACUAAGUCGGUAGCACAAAAAUUAUUUUUUGUACUAAUCAAAGAU
rnacentral:lncRNA from 1 species